rnacentral:rRNA from 1 species
UACGAAGGGUGCAAGCGUUAGUCGGAAUUACUGGGCGUAAAGCGUGCGUAGGCGGUUUCUUAAGUCCGUUGUGAAAGCCCUAGGCUCAACCUGGGAACUGCAGUGGAUACUGAGAGGCUAGAGUGUGUCAGAGGAUGGUGGAAUUCCCGGUGUAGCGGUGAAAUGCGUAGAGAUCGGGAGGAACACCGGUGGCGAAGGCGCCACUCUGGGCCGAAACUGACGCUGAGGAGCGAAAGCGUGGGGAGCGAACAGG